AGAAGUUUGAUCCUGGCUCAGGAUGAACGCUGGCGGCGUGCCUAAUACAUGAAGUUCGAACGAGUUCUCGUUGAUGAUCGGUGCUUGCACCGAGAUUCAACAUGGAACGAGUGGCGGACGGGUGAGUAACACGUGGGUAACCUGCCCUUAAGUGGGGGAUAACAUUUGGAAACAGAUGCUAAUACCGCAUAGAUCCAAGAACCGCAUGGUUCUUGGCUGAAAGAUGGCGUAAGCUAUCGCUUUUGGAUGGACCCGCGGCGUAUUAGCUAGUUGGUGAGGUAAUGGCUCACCAAGGCGAUGAUACGUAGCCGAACUGAGAGGUUGAUCGGCCACAUUGGGACUGAGACACGGCCCAAACUCCUACGGGAGGCAGCAGUAGGGAAUCUUCCACAAUGGACGCAAGUCUGAUGGAGCAACGCCGCGUGAGUGAAGAAGGCUUUCGGGUCGUAAAACUCUGUUGUUGGAGAAGAAUGGUCGGCAGAGUAACUGUUGCCGGCGUGACGGUAUCCAACCAGAAAGCCACGGCUAACUACGUGCCAGCAGCCGCGUUAAUAA
rnacentral:rRNA from 2 species